CCUGCAGAGGGGAAUCGGUGAAAGGCAAAUCAAACAAUGCUAGCUCUUUCAUCAAGCUUCCAACAAUGAUUAGAGGUGUUGAGCUUGAAACGACCUCAGCCUAUUCUCAAAUUUUAAAUGGGCGAGAUCUCCAACUUGCUUCAUAUGCUUGUUUACUGCUGCACCGACAGGUGGAGUUGGGCGUUGAAUGUGCGAGUGCCAAGUGGGCCAUUUUUGGUAAGCGGAACUGGCGUUGUGGGAUGAACCAAACGCCGGGUUAAGGUGCCUAACGCUGGCGCUCAUGAGAUACCACAAAAGGUGUUGGUUAAUUUAGACAGCAGUACGGUGGCCAUGGAAGUCGGCAUCCUCUAAGGAGUGUGUAACAACUCACCCGCCGAAUUGACCAGCUCUGAAAAUGGAUGGCGCUGGAGCGUCGGACCUACACCGGGCCGUCAUCGCAAGCUGGAUUGGUGGCUGUGCGCGUUUGCGUCAUGGUCCAGGCGUGGAGUGCGAUGCUGAGUAGGAGGGUCGCCGUGGUGAGCGUGGAAGCCGCAGGCGUGAGUCAUGGUGGAGCCGCCACGGGUG
rnacentral:ncRNA from 1 species